AGCCCCUACUCCCCUCAGGAACUCAGGGUUCCGGCCCUCCUCCCAAAUCCCAGCUACCCCUCCCCCAUCGGUUUCUCCCCUCCAGGGGAUGGAGGCUGAGAGACCCCAGGAAGAAGAGGAUGGUGAGCAGCAUCAGGGCCCCCAUCAGGAUGAGCAUGGCUGGCCCCCUGUGAACACCAGCAAUCGGCCUUGGCGAUCUGCUCCUCCGUCCCCUCCUCCUCCAGGGUCCCGCCACACAGCGCUGGGGCCCCGCUCGGCCUCCCUGCUCUCCCUGCAGACUGAGCUCCUUCUGGACCUGGUGGCUGAGGCCCAGUCCCGCCGCCUAGAAGAGCAGAGGGCCACCUUCCAUCCCCCCCAGAACCGUCCAAGCCUAGGCCGAGCCCCGCCCCGGCCUCUUGAGGACAGAGAACAGCUCUACAGCACCAUCCUCAGUCACCAGAGCCAGCGGAUGGAAGCCCAGCGGUCAGAGCCUCCCUUACCCCCAGGGGGACAGGAGCUCCUGGAGUUGCUGCUGAGAGUUCAGGGUGGGGGUCGAAUGGAGGAGCAAAGAUCCCAGCCCCCCACACACACCUGCUGAGACUUGAGCCCCACCAGCCCCUCUGCACUCCUGGGGCUCAAAAGCUGGGCAGCCCACUGCAUGCCCUCAACCCUGCCAGGCAGGGGCACCAGAGACUGGAAGACCCAGCAGAAAUCUCAAUAUUCAUCGCCCUCAUCCACCUUUCCUGGGAACUGGAGCGGGUGAAAGUCCUCAAACCCUGGGAAUAGUCAAGACCCAGCAGAAGCCCCAUUCACAAGCUCUGAAUCUUCUGGGAGCCCCCCAACUCCAGGACCCUCCCCAGGAUACUACAGCUCUUCUCUCUUCUCCUUACUCCCGGGAGAGCCCCAAGAUAAGUGAUCCCUCUCAAACCUUCCUUCACCCCCAGUCCCUGAAACCUUCAAAAAGGGGAACGCUAGGUGGUCUCCCCCCCAGUCUCUCACUGACCCCCGCCCACACACACACACAUACACACACACACACACACACACACACACUCCCCUGGAACAUCUUUCCAUCUCCAGAGCCCUCUUCUGGCUCCCAGACUAAGAAACAGCUAUGCUGUCUUCUCCCCUAACUCUCCAGCCCACCCUCAUCCUAGGGGCCUCCACACCCCUUCCCAGGACUGUGACCCUUUCUCUCCAUGCAUGGCCCAGCCUCCAAGGGUCCUCACUCACCCUUUGCCCCUGCUCAGCUGACACUAGGAGCAUCAGAGCCUCCCAGCCUGCUCAGUCCCAGGACCCUUCACACACCUCUAUACUGAACUCCCCACUUAAGCUCAGCACCCCUAACCCCCUCUGGCACCUCAAGCUCUGACUCUUCUCCCCAGCCUCCUCCUGUCUUCCGCUGAAAUUUACCUAGUCACUCUCAUUUCUGCAGCCAUUCCCCAAAUCCCCUCUGUACCCUUCUAGACCAUCUCCCACAGCCUCCACCCGGCCAUGGUGCCUUUAGCCUACUGCACCUUCCCUCCUCCGUCCAGCCACAGCCAAGCAGCUUCCCCACGUCUCCACACUCUGGGAGCUGAGCUCUUCCCAAGAACCCCCCAACUCCAUUCGGCCUCCAAUCCUGCUUUCCCCCGCCACAGAUUUACCCACCACCUCCCUUAUUCCCAGGCUCCCCUCUCUUACCCUCAUGGGUGUGUCGUUUUGUGGUUGUCUUUCCCACUCCCCCAUUUCUGUAGCCUCUCAAUUUUUCUCUCCCAUUCC